GGGCCCUUAGCUCAGCCCGGCUAGAGCGCUUGCUCGACACGCAAGAGGUCACUGGUUCAAGUCCAGUAGGGCCCA
rnacentral:tRNA from 1 species